rnacentral:rRNA from 1 species
UACAGAGGUCUCAAGCGUUUGUUCGGAAUCACUGGGCGUAAAGGGUGCGUAGGUGGCGUGGCAGUCAGAUGUGAAAGCCCAGGGCUCAACCCUGGAAUUGCAUCGAUACUGCCAUGCUGGAGUACUGAAGAGGUGACUAGAAUUCUCGGUGUAGCAGUGAAAUGCGUAGAUAUCGAGAGGAAUACCAAAGGCGAAGGCAGGUCACUGGCAGU